AGUGAACGCUGGCGGUAGGCCUAACACAUGUAAGUCGAACGGCAGCACAGUAAGAGCUUGCUCUUACGGGUGGCGAGUGGCGGACGGGUGAGGAAUACAUCGGAAUCUACUUUUUCGUGGGGGAUAACGUAGGGAAACUUACGCUAAUACCGCAUACGACCUACGGGUGAAAGCAGGGGAUCUUCGGACCUUGCGCGGUUGAAUGAGCCGAUGUCGGAUUAGCUAGUUGGCGGGGUAAAGGCCCACCAAGGCGACGAUCCGUAGCUGGUCUGAGAGGAUGAUCAGCCACACUGGAACUGAGACACGGUCCAGACUCCUACGGGAGGCAGCAGUGGGGAAUAUUGGACAAUGGGCGCAAGCCUGAUCCAGCCAUACCGCGUGGGUGAAGAAGGCCUUCGGGUUGUAAAGCCCUUUUGUUGGGAAAGAAAAGCAGCAGGUUAAUACCCCGCUGUUCUGACGGUACCCAAAGAAUAAGCACCGGCUAACUUCGUG
rnacentral:rRNA from 1 species